CAGUCGCCGCGGUAAUACAGAGGAUGCAAGCGUUAUCCGGAAUGAUUGGGCGUAAAGGGCUCGCAGGCGGUUUCUUAAGUCUGAUGUGAAAGCCCCCGGCUCAACCGGGGAGGGUCAUUGGAAACUGGGAAACUUGAGUGCAGAAGAGGAGAGUGGAAUUCCACGUGUAGCGGUGAAAUGCGUAGAGAUGUGGAGGAACACCAGUGGCGAAGGCGACUCUCUGGUCUGUAACUGACGCUGAGGAGCGAAAGCGUGGGGAGCGAACAGGAUUAGAUACCCCGGUAGUCCCUGUCUCUUAUAC
rnacentral:rRNA from 1 species